CGGUUGAUCCUGCCGGACCCCACUGCUAUCGGGGUAGGACUUAAACAUGCGAGUCGAACGCUUCCCAGCUAUGUGUAGAAGCGUGGCGAACGGCUCAGUAACACGUGGCUAACCUACCCUUGAGACGGGGAUAACCCCGGGGAAACUGGGGCUAAUCCCCGAUAGACGAGGACUCCUGGAAUGGGUUCUCGUCCAAAAGACGUUAAGAUCAUGCUUCUUAACGUCGCUCAAGGAUGGGGCCGCGGCCGAUCAGGUUGUUGGUGAGGCAACGGCUCACCAAACCUAUAACCGGUACGGGCCGUGGGAGCGGGAGCCCGGAGAUGGGAACUGAGACAAGGUCCCAGGCCCUACGGGGCGCAGCAGUUACGAAAACUCGUCACUGCACGAAAGUGCGAACGGGCUACCCCGAGUGCCGUCCGCUGAGGACGGCUUUUCCCCGCUGUAAGAAAGCGGAGGAAUAAGGAGAGGGCAAGUCUGGUGUCAGCCGCCGCGGUAAUACCAGCUCUCCGAGUGGUGGGGAUGUUUAUUGGGCUUAAAGCGUCCGUAGCCGGCCUAACAAGUCUCCCGUUAAAUCCAACGAUUCAAUCGUUGGACUGCGGGAGAUACUGUUAGGCUAGGAGGCGGGAGAAGCCGACGGUAUUCCCGGGGUAGGAGUAAAAUCCUAUAAUCCCGGGAAGACCACCAGUGGCGAAGGCUGUCGGCUAGCACGCGCUCGACGGUGAGGGACGAAAGCUGGGGGAGCGAACCGGAUUAGAUACCCGGGUAGUCCCAGCUGUAAACGAUGCGGGCUAGGUGUUGAAGCGGCUACGAGCCGCUUCAGCGCCGCAGGGAAACCAUUAAGCCCGCCGCCUGGGAAGUACGGCCGCAAGGCUGAAACUUAAAGGAAUUGGCGGGGGAGCAC
rnacentral:rRNA from 1 species